CUCGGCUCUGAAGGCGCCGGGGGCCCUGCAGAGCCUGGCCACCAUCAGCACCAUCCCCGUGCCCACCUCGCUGGCCCUGGCAGCCUCCAGCAAGCCCACGGCCAUCCAGCAGCUGCUGAGCAACGGGGGACUGGCCAAACUGGCCAGCAGCCUCCCGGGGCUGGCCCACAUCUCCAGCCAGAGCUCAGGGCUGAAGGCCCCCACCACCAUCACGGUGACGCUGCGGGGCCAGCCCGGCCGCGUGGGCAGCCUGAGCCAGCUGCAGCCACCGCUGGAGGAGCAGCAACAGGGCCCCCAGUGACCACCACGAGCCCAGGGUGGCACCAGGGGACACCUGGGGUGGCCACCAGGACCCUCUGACCCCUGUCCCUUCUCCACAGUGACCACCACAAGCCCAGGGUGACCACCAGGAGCCCAGGGUGGCCACCAGGAGCCCAGGGGUGGCUCCAUGUCCCUCCAGGCACCUCCAGGACCCCCAGCCCAGCCCGGGGACCCUCGGGGACACCUUGGGGACAACGCUGGGACCCCCCCAGAAUUCCUGGG